UACGUAGGGUGCGAGCGUUGUCCGGAAUUAUUGGGCGUAAAGAGCUCGUAGGCGGUGUGUCGCGUCGGCCGUGAAAACCUGCAGCUUAACUGUGGGCUUGCGGUCGAUACGGGCAUCACUGGAGUUCGGCAGGGGAGACUGGAAUUCCCGGUGUAGCGGUGAAAUGCGCAGAUAUCGGGAAGAACACCCGUGGCGAAGGCGGUUCUCUGGGACGGUACUGACGCUGAGACGCGAAAGCGUGGGGAGCGAACAGG
rnacentral:rRNA from 1 species